UACGAAGGGGGCUAGCGUUGCUCGGAAUCACUGGGCGUAAAGCGCACGUAGGCGGCUUGUUAAGUCAGGGGUGAAAUCCUGGAGCUCAACUCCAGAACUGCCUUUGAUACUGGCGAGCUUGAGUUCGGGAGAGGUGAGUGGAAUUCCCAGUGUAGCGGUGAAAUGCGUAGAUAUUGGGAGGAACACCAGUGGCGAAGGCGGCUCACUGGACCGGUACUGACGCUGAUGCGCGAAAGCGUGGGGAGCAAACGGG
rnacentral:rRNA from 1 species